rnacentral:rRNA from 1 species
CUACGGGUUGCUCCAGUGAGGAAUAUUGCACAAUGGAGGAAACUCUGAUGCAGCAACGCCGCGUGGAGGAUGACGCAUUUCGGUGUGUAAACUCCUUUUAUAUGUCAAGAAAAUGACGGUAGCAUAUGAAUAAGCACCGGCUAACUCCGUGCCAGCAGCCGCGGUAAUACGGAGGGUGCAAGCGUUACUCGGAAUCACUGGGCGUAAAGGACGCGUAGGCGGGAUAUCAAGUCAGGUGUGAAAUCCUACAGCUUAACUGUAGAACUGCACUUGAAACUUCUAAUCUAGAGUAUGGGAGGGGGAGAUGGAAUUAGUGGUGUAGGGGUAAAAUCCGUAGAUAUCACUAGGAAUACCUAAAGCGAAGGCGAUCUCCUGGAACAUUACUGACGCUAAGGCGUGAAAGCGUGGGGAGCAAACAGGAUUAGAUACCCGCGUAGUC